AAGGUUCAACAAAGGACUCUACAUUAAAUUAUGUUGAAAUGCCAGAACUUUCCCAGUAUAAUCAAGAAAAAGUUCAGAGGUGUGAGGAGUCGGAAAUGUUGACUGGGAGAUGAUGUCAUUAAAAUGGGGUCUUUAAUACCACUGAGUACCUGGAGUCAAUGUGGGCUUGGUUACUGUAUUGGUCCACAAGGACACAAACAAAUAGAAAGAUCCCCAUGCUUAUAAAUUGGAAGAAUUAAUAUUGUUAACCCCUUUAUGCCUAGUGUUCCAUUAUUGGAAUGCUAAGCUUGUGGGAGUUAUUCAUAUCCUACUCUUCAAGGUCAUCGCCAAAGUCUGAUUUUUCAUAC